UACGAAGGGGGCUAGCGUUGCUCGGAAUUACUGGGCGUAAAGGGCGCGUAGGCGGUUCUAUAAGUCAGGCGUGAAAUUCCUGGGCUUAACCUGGGGGCUGCGCUUGAGACUGUGGGACUUGAGGUCAGAAGAGGGUCGUGGAAUUCCCAGUGUAGAGGUGAAAUUCGUAGAUAUUGGGAAGAACACCGGUGGCGAAGGCGGCGACCUGGUUCAUUACUGACGCUGAGGCGCGAAAGCGUGGGGAGCAAACAGG
rnacentral:rRNA from 1 species